rnacentral:rRNA from 1 species
GUCGAACGGUAGCACAGAGAGCUUGCUCUCGGGUGACGAGUGGCGGACGGGUCCAUCUUGUCUGGGAAACUGCCUGAUGGAGGGGGAUAACUACUGGCAUCGGUAGCUAAUACCGCAUAACGUCGCAAGACCAAAGAGGGGGACCUUCGGGCCUCUUGCCAUCAGAUGUGCCCAGAUGGGAUUAGCUAGUAGGUGGGGUAAUGGCUCACCUAGGCGACGAUCCCUAGCUGGUCUGAGAGGAUGACCAGCCACACUGGAACUGAGACACGGUCCAGACUCCUACGGGAGGCAGCAGUGGGGAAUAUUGCACAAUGGGCGCAAGCCUGAUGCAGCCAUGCCGCGUGUAUGAAGAAGGCCUUCGGGUUGUAAAGUACUUUCAGCGGGGAGGAAGGUGUUGUGGUUAAUAACCACAGCAAUUGACGUUACCCGCAGAAGAAGCACCGGCUAACUCCGUGCCAGCAGCCGCGGUAAUACGGAGGGUGCAAGCGUUAAUCGGAAUUACUGGGCGUAAAGCGCACGCAGGCGGUCUGUCAAGUCGGAUGUGAAAUCCCCGGGCUCAACCUGGGAACUGCAUUCGAAACUGGCAGGCUAGAGUCUUGUAGAGGGGGGUAGAAUUCCAGGUGUAGCGGUGAAAUGCGUAGAGAUCUGGAGGAAUACCGGUGGCGAAGGCGGCCCCCUGGACAAAGACUGACGCUCAAGUGCCAAAGCGUGGGGAGCAAACAAGAUUAGAUACCCUGGUAGUCCACGCCGUAAACGAUGUCGACCUGGAAGGUGGUUCCUUGAGGAGUGGGCUUCCCGAGCUUACGCCGUAAGUCGACCGCCUGGGGGAGACCGGCGCCAGGGUUAAA